rnacentral:tRNA from 1 species
AAAUAGGUAGCUCGAUGGUAGAGCGCCGGAUAUUCCGGAGAUCACGGGUUCGAAUCCCGUUCUAUUUCUU